rnacentral:snoRNA from 12 species
UGUGGUGCAUACCAGUAGACCCUUUCUGACCGUGCUGUGGUCACAAAGGGGGGACAGUGUAUGCAACAGCAAAGC